AUGCUUCUCAGCUCUCCGACAGGCUGGGAGAGGGGGAAACAGACACCGCACACGGCCACUGGGCCCUGGCGGCUCCUUCCCAGCCUGUGCUUUCUGACUGCCAGAGAUUUUAGGGACUGCCUGUCUCAGAGAAUGGUCAGAGAAACAGAGGUUUCCUGUGACUGGGUGCAACACACCACCUCGGCAAGAUGGCUGUGGAGAUGCACAUACAGCCCUGGCACAGCCACGCCGAGUUCCUUUCUGCUGUGCCGGCUGGGAAGCUGUCCGACAGAGCCACGGGUGCUCCGGCAGCUGGUGAGUGGCUUCCUGGAGAUGUGCAGGGCACACAGUCCUUCACACAGGACUUUUUCCCUUGGGCUCCGAGCUUCCACUCUCAGUUGUUGCAGUGAGCCAUAGGCAGCUGCUGUGGACAGCAGGGCUUUGUCAGCCACAUUUCUUCCUCUGUCAGUGACACUGCCACUGCCAGGACAAACCUGUGACCGAGGCAGGAGCUGACCCACACAGACUUCCCACUUGCUCCCCAUUUCCCACUCGUCCUUAUCUCCUGGAGAUAAGGAGAUAAGGAGGAACAGAUUGCUCUGGAUUAGCUCCAUUUUUUCCAGAGAACCUUUGAUCCUCCAGGAGGAAGGUUUUGCCCAGCUCAUAAUUGUGGCCUGGUGGGGCCGGCCUUCCCACGUCUCCGCAAUGCCAGGUGUCCUGCCUGCCCCUCUGUCCUGGUGCCCGCUGCAGAAGUCUCCUUGCAGGCAGCCCUGGCACGCUGCCCUCCCUGUGAAGCUGGCACAGCCCAGGGCACUGUGAUGCGGGAAACUCAGACCUGCCAGUUUGGUCUGUGCCUGCAGGGACAUUUGGGUUUUCCUCCAGCCUUUUUUUAUUUUGGUUUGGGUUUGUCUGUUUGCUUGUAUUUCUAGGUUUGUUAGUGUUAGCUGGGUGAUUGCUUUAGCUCCUGUUGCAGUUUCUGCAGUGCAGGUCCCUAGGGGAUCCCCACUCUGGGAGUUUAAGGGAUGAGGUCCAUCCCUGUGUCCCCAGAUGUGCUGUGAUCAAGCUCCCUCACCCCCGGGGCGUGACGGUGAGGCUUUGCCUGGGGUAACUCUUGUCCCCACAAGAUGUAACCACCCCGCUGUGACGGUUCUUGCUCCCAGCACCCGAUGACCGUCUCAUAGGGAGACUUGUUCCCGAGGCUUUUUCCAAGGCUUGUGCCCGGCUGAUGCUCCAUUCCCGGAGCAGCAGGGAAGAGCAGUGAUGCCUCUCAUAAGGAAUCGUGAGUGAACCGAGCACGGCAGAGCCGAACCGAGCUUGGCCGAACCCGGCAAGUGGCACUGAGUUCGGCCGAACCCGGCCUGCUGCUCUCGUGCCCAUUAAUUAGCGCGAGUGCGGUCACAGCCUAAUGAGCUCCUGC
rnacentral:lncRNA from 1 species